rnacentral:tRNA from 1 species
GGUUGUGGCUCAGUGGUAGAGUGAUUGCCUCGCACGUGAGGCACUGGGUUCAAUCCUCAGCACCA